rnacentral:rRNA from 1 species
UACAGAGGGGGCAAGCGUUGUUCGGAAUUACUGGGCGUAAAGGGCGCGUAGGCGGCCCGCUAAGUCGAACGUGAAAUCCCCGGGCUCAACCCGAGAACUGCGUCCGAUACUGGCAGGCUUGAAUCCGGGAGAGGGAUGCGGAAUUCCAGGUGUAGCGGUGAAAUGCGUAGAUAUCUGGAGGAACACCGGUGGCGAAGGCGGCACCCUGGACCGGUAUUGACGCUGAGGCGCGAAAGCCAGGGGAGCAAACGGG